UAGGGAAUCUUCGGCAAUGGACGAAAGUCUGACCGAGCAACGCCGCGUGAGUGAAGAAGGUUUUCGGAUCGUAAAACUCUGUUGUUAGAGAAGAACAAGGACGUUAGUAACUGAACGUCCCCUGACGGUAUCUAACCAGAAAGCCACGGCUAACUACGUGCCAGCAGCCGCGGUAAUACGUAGGUGGCAAGCGUUGUCCGGAUUUAUUGGGCGUAAAGCGAGCGCAGGCGGUUUCUUAAGUCUGAUGUGAAAGCCCCCGGCUCAACCGGGGAGGGGCAUUGGAGACUGGGAGACUGGAGUGCAGAAGAGGAGAGUGGAAUUCCAUGUGUAGCGGUGAAAUGCGUAGAUAUAUGGAGGAACACCAGUGGCGAAGGCGGCUCUCUGGUCUGUAACUGACGCUGAGGCUCGAAAGCGUGGGGAGCAAACAGG
rnacentral:rRNA from 1 species